AACAGUGAAUGAUGUAACUAAAGAAGAAAUAAAGAAAGCUUUGCGAGAGAUUUAAAAAUGGUCUUUCAGCUCUUCAGUUUUUGACUGCACUGCAGCAGCAUCCUUCUUUGAUGAUCCCUGUCCUGUGCCCCUCAGAAAAGAAGGUCACUGCCCUUGAACUUGAGAGACUUUUCAAACCUGACCUCAGUCCAUCAGGGAGCAACAGGAGACUCGGAGAAGGACAAACAUUAGGCUACUGGGCUGACUAUCUCCUUGAUUGUGAAGAAGGUCAGGCUGCUGUUUGCGUGGAAGAUGUUUUCAUGUUUGCAACUGGGCUAACUUCACUUCCCCCAUCUGGAUUGAAA